UACGGAGGGGACUAGCGUUGUUCGGAAUUACUGGGCGUAAAGCGCACGUAGGCGGAUUUGUAAGUCAGGGGUGAAAUCCCGGGGCUCAACCCCGGAACUGCCUUUGAUACUGCGAAUCUCGAGUCCGGAAGAGGUGAGUGGAAUUCCUAGUGUAGAGGUGAAAUUCGUAGAUAUUGGGAAGAACACCAGUGGCGAAGGCGGCUCACUGGUCCGGUACUGACGCUGAGGUGCGAAAGCGUGGGGAGCAAACAGG
rnacentral:rRNA from 1 species